rnacentral:rRNA from 1 species
CAACAGGGAUUGCCUCAGUAACUGCGAGUGAAGCGGCAAAAGCUCAAAUUUGAAAUCUGGCGCCUUCGGCGUCCGAGUUGUAAUUUGGAGAGGCAUCUUCGGAUAUGGCGCCGUCCUAAGUUCCUUGGAACAGGACGUCACAGAGGGUGAGAAUCCCGUGCCUGGUCGGCUGUCCAUAUCCAUGUGAAGUGUCUUCGACGAGUCGAGUUGUUUGGGAAUGCAGCUCAAAAUGGGUGGUAAAUUUCAUCUAAAGCUAAAUAUUGGCGAGAGACCGAUAGCGCACAAGUAGAGUGAUCGAAAGAUGAAAAGAACUUUGAAAAGAGAGUUAAAAAGUACGUGAAAUUGUUGAAAGGGAAGCGCUUGAGACCCCACUCGAUCUUUGGUGAUCAGCUAGGCUUCUGUCUGGUGCACUUGCCAUUGAUUGGGCCAGCAUCGGUUCUGACGGCGGGAUAAAAGGCAGAGGAAUGUGGCUCUCUUCGGGGAGUGUUAUAGCCUCAGUCAUAAUGCCGCCAGUUGGGACCGAGGACCGCGCUUCGGCUAGGAUGCUGGCAUAAAGGUCUUAAGCGACCCGUCUUGAAACACG